UACGUAGGGGGCAAGCGUUAUCCGGAUUUACUAGGUGUAAAGGGAGCGUAGACGGCAGCGCAAGUCUGGAGUGAAAUGCCGGGGCCCAACCCCGGAACUGCUUUGGAAACUGAGCAGCUCGAGUGCAGGAGAGGUAAGCGGAAUUCCUAGUGUAGCGGUGAAAUGCGUAGAUAUUAGGAGGAACACCAGUGGCGAAGGCGGCUUACUGGACUGUAACUGACGUUGAGGCUCGAAAGCGUGGGGAGCAAACAGG
rnacentral:rRNA from 1 species